GGGAAUAUAAUCAAUCAUAUUGUAAUAACUAUGUAUGGGUCCAGGUGGAUACUUGAAUUAUUGGGAGGACCACUUUGUAAAGUAUAUGAUUGUCUAACCACUAUGCAAUACACCUGAAACUAAUACAAAAUAAUAUUGAA